rnacentral:rRNA from 1 species
AUGCAGGAUGACCCUUGUCCUGGACCCUCGGGCUGUGGUAAAAGAACCCUUUUGCUGGCAUUUUCUCUCAAGGCACUAUUGACCAUUCUGGGCUCCUCGCAAAUAUUGAAAGCAAAAGAAGAGUCACUAAGUCGAAAAGAUAUUAUGGACAUGAUAAAUAAAUGGUUUGUUGCUUGUGAUGAAGAGGCUUUGCUUGAAGAAUAUAACCAGGACUCGAAGAGGUAUAGUUCUGGAAGGGAUGCUCAUGUAAACCUUAAAAGAGCAGAAAAGGCAUGGAUUUUGGUCACUAAAAUUCCAAGUAGGUUUUAG